GAAGGAUCAUUACCGAGUUUUCGAGCUUCGGCUCGACUCUCCCACCCUUUGUGAACGUACCUCUGUUGCUUUGGCGGCUCCGGCCGCCAAAGGACCUUCAAACUCCAGUCAGUAAACGCAGACGUCUGAUAAACAAGUUAAUAAACUAAAACUUUCAACAACGGAUCUCUUGGUUCUGGCAUCGAUGAAGAACGCAGCGAAAUGCGAUAAGUAAUGUGAAUUGCAGAAUUCAGUGAAUCAUCGAAUCUUUGAACGCACAUUGCGCCCCUUGGUAUUCCGGGGGGCAUGCCUGUUCGAGCGUCAUUACAACCCUCAAGCUCUGCUUGGAAUUGGGCACCGUCCUCACUGCGGACGCGCCUCAAAGACCUCGGCGGUGGCUGUUCAGCCCUCAAGCGUAGUAGAAUACACCUCGCUUUGGAGCGGUUGGCGUCGCCCGCCGGACGAACCUUCUGAACUUUUCUCAAGGUUGACCUCGGAUCAGGUAGGGAUACCCGCUGAACUUAAGCAUA
rnacentral:rRNA from 3 species